AACCCAAGAAGAAACAGGCCGACAAAGCGUGUCGAGGAAGCUAACCCAAGCUGUGUCCAUUCCGGUAACAAAUCGAGUCACAGUUGGUCUGCUCCCUACCGUCGCCGUUUCCGCACUUUCCUCGUCACACAAGUCCACCUCCACCGCCGCACGCCGCCGCUCCUCCGCAUCCGCGACCGCGACCUCGAGGUCGCCCUCCCUCCGCGCCAGCUGCAAUGGCGGCCUCGCCGGACCAAUUCCGGGGGCAUGCGCGCCUCCCGCACUUCGCGGCCCCGCUCCGCUACGACCUCCGCCUCCGCCCGGACCUCGCCGCGUGCACCUUCACGGGCGCCGCGGCCAUCGCCGUUGUCGUGUCCGCGCCCACCCGCUUCCUCGUCCUCAACGCUGCCGAGCUGGAUGUCGAUCGCGCCUCCAUCCGUUUCCAGGAUUUGGCGCCGACAGAUGUGGCUCAGUUCGAUGAGGAUGAGAUCAUGGUCAUCAGCUUCGACCGGGAGCUGCCCUUCGGAGAGGGCGUGCUCACCAUGGACUUCACCGGCACGCUCAACGAUCAGAUGAGGGGAUUUUACAGGAGCAAAUAUGUGUACAAUGGAGAGUCAAGAAAUAUGGCAGUUACACAGUUUGAAGCCGCUGAUGCACGGAGGUGCUUUCCAUGUUGGGAUGAUCCUGCAUUUAAGGCCAAGUUCAAGCUAACACUAGAAGUUCCAUCUGACCUGGUAGCAUUGUCCAACAUGCCAGUGGCUAAGGAGACUGUCAGUGGACUUACCAAGACUAUUUAUUAUGAGGAAUCUCCACUUAUGUCAACCUAUCUUGUGGCUAUAGUUGUUGGCAUCUUUGAUUACAUAGAGAGUUCAACAUCAGAGGGAACUAAAGUUCGUGUUUAUACUCAAGUUGGCAAGACUAAUCAAGGAAAGUUUGCACUAGAUGUUGCUGUAAAGUCGCUGGAUUUAUACAAAGAUUAUUUUGCCACUCCUUAUCCAUUACCUAAGUUGGACAUGAUUGCUAUCCCGGAUUUUUCUGCUGGGGCCAUGGAGAACUAUGGGUUAGUUACUUACCGAGAUACAGCUUUGCUGUAUGAUGAGCUACUAUCAUCAGCAUCCAACAAGCAACAGGUAGCAAUAACUGUUGCACAUGAGUUGGCGCACCAAUGGUUUGGCAAUCUUGUGACUAUGGAAUGGUGGACUCACUUGUGGCUAAAUGAGGGUUUUGCUUCCUGGGUAAGCUAUUUAGCAGUAGAAUCUUUAUUUCCUGAAUGGAAUAACUGGACACAAUUUCUUGAUGAGACGACCUCUGGCCUCAGAUUGGAUGCACUUGCAGAGUCUCAUCCUAUCGAGGUUGAGGUAAACCAUGCUAGUGAAAUUGAUGCAAUUUUUGAUUCCAUAAGCUAUGACAAGGGUGCAUCUGUUAUUCGUAUGCUACAAAGUUACCUUGGUGCAGAGUGUUUUCAGAAAGCUUUGGCUUCAUAUAUAAAGAAAUAUGCCUACUCGAAUGCUAAGACUGAAGACCUAUGGGUUGUUCUUGAGGAGGAAUCUGGGGAGCCUGUUAAGGAUUUGAUGACUACAUGGACUAAGCAACAAGGAUAUCCUGUUAUUUAUGCAAAAAUCAAUGGACAUGAUUUGGAACUUGAACAGGCACAGUUUCUAUCUGAUGGAUCGUCUGGUCCUGGAAUGUGGAUUGUUCCUGUAACAGCAUGCUGUGGCUCAUAUGAUGCACAGAAAAAGUUCUUAUUGAAAGAUAAAAUGGAUAAGAUAAAUAUUAAAGAGUUUUCUGACUCUCAAAGUGCUGAUGGGGAGAAGAAUCAAAUCAUUUGGAUCAAAUUGAAUAUUGAUCAAACUGGAUUUUAUAGAGUGAAGUAUGAUGAUGAACUUGCAGCUGGACUUGUAAAUGCAAUCAAAGCAAAGAAGCUCUCAUUAAUGGAUAAGAUUGGUAUCGUGGAAGAUUCAUAUGCGCUCUCUGUUGCUUGCAAGCAAACACUGACGUCAUUGUUGCGACUGCUGAAUGCUUAUAAUGAUGAGUCUGAUUACACUGUACUUUCACAUGUAACCUCUGUAUGUUUAAGCAUUUCUAAAAUAACAGUUGACGCUACUCCUGACUUGAACAAAGAUAUCAAACAGCUUUUGAUCAACCUUCUUCUCCCAGCUGUCAUAAAGUUAGGCUGGGACCCCAAGGAUGGUGAGAGUCAUCUUGAUGUAAUGCUUAGAUCACUGCUCUUGACUGCGCUGGUCAGACUUGGACAUAAUGAAACUAUAAAUGAAGGAGUUCGGCGUUUCCACAUCUUCUUUGAAGACGGCAAAACUUCCCUUCUUCCACCAGAUACUAGAAAGGCUGCAUAUCUUGCCGUGAUGCGAACUGUUAGCACCUCAAGCAGAUCCGGUUUUGAUGCUCUCCUUAAAAUCUACAGAGAAGCAUCUGAACCACAGGAGAAAUCACGUGUCUUAGGCUCCCUGUCUUCAUCACCGGAUCAGGAUAUUGUUUUGGAGGCAUUGAACUUUAUGUUUACUGAUGAGGUUAACCUCUAACCAUUUCUGUUUUUACAGUUAUCAUAUUGCAAAAUUAUUCCAAAUACUGUCUUCAAGUCUGCACCAUGAUUUUAAAAGCCCAACAGUGAGCAUUAUGUUCCAACCACCAGCUUACCCAGGUUGGGAUUAUGUUCACACAAAACAGGAAAGUAAGUUUUGAGUAUAUAGAGAAGAAAUAAAAUUGAGGAUUGUUAUGCUACACAAUCCAGGCAUGGCAGAUCUUAUGUUCAGGGCUGGUACGCACGACCACCUUCACUGUCUCUUGUAACGGCGACCACCUUCACUGUCUCUUGUAAAAGUGGUCUCGGCUUAUGGAUUCUAAGGGAGCGGUGCUGCCGGUUUUGUUGGACUUUGAACUACACGGAAUCCCUAUCCAUGCUUGGGACGCCAUGACUAUGAACCACUUGCUUAAUCCUUUUGCUUGUGUUCAUCAAGUCCAUCCAGAUACCUUGGAGCUAAAAGAUGUGGCAGUUUUCCGGUGCUCUGCUUGGUGUUUGGACAUGUCUCUGAUUCUAGCUUCGAGAGAGCUAUGGAUUGUUGAGCCCCCUUAUGCCGUUGAGGGUGAUGUCCCUGGAAGGAGAACGUUGAUGUACUCAAUCUGCAUCACUUUCUCCUCCCACCCUUCGGCAGGAUGGAUCCAAUCCUACCCCUCAAGCUGUUGAAGCUGAUGGUGAUGACAAUCGGUAUGUGCAGCAGCGACGACUCCAUUCAAGAUCCCCUCCGGCACGUUGAGGUGCUGAUGGUGACGGCCAGUCGGGCCGUCUUUCUGUUCACGAUCGUUUGGGUCCAAGAGAUGGCAGUAGGAAGCAGGGUCAAAAUUCUGAAGAGGUGUAUUCGAGGUGUCCAGUGGGAUUAAAAGAGGGGAUCAUUUCUCCUGGAAUGAAGAAAAACCUUGUAGAUGAUCAUCAAUCUCGUGGAGACAUUUCAUCUGUUGAUUCGCCAUCCAUCUGCCUGUCCCAUAUCGCGGAGACACAUUCUGAGGCAUUGGUGUAGAUUUCAUCUGUUAUUGAGGAGGCUGAUAGCGGGAUUCGCUCAACCCCUGCUAUUUUAGGUGCUGUUUGUGUAAUGGAGUCUUCAGUGUAGCAGAAUUCUGACGCUCUGGCUCAAUCCUUGAUGGCCGCCCCUGAGGCUUGUUCACCGGCAGGGGCAAGGUCUCCAGUUCGUGCGCUUAUCCGAGGCAAUUCUGGACUUGUAGCCUUGAUCGGAGAUCAUAGAAGCAGAGGUGCAAUCGACCAUUGCUUGUCUUGCGCUUGACAAGCACCGAGGCCCGAUGGUUACACUGGAAGGUUUUAUAAGUCUUGCUGGCAUGUUAUCAAAGCGGACCUGGUCGCUGCUCUAAUCUCCCUGCACCAAGGAAAUGCUAGAAAGUUUGGGUUUUUAAAUUCAGCAUAUCUUACCCUCAUCCCCAAGAAAGUCGAAGCAGUAUCACCAGGGGAUUUUAGGCCUAUUAGCCUUAUUCACAGUUUUGCAAAGUUGGUUACUAAGAUCAUGGCUAAUCGUCUUGCCCCUUUGCUCCAUAAGUUAGUGGCAGUAAAUCAGAGUGCUUUUGUUAAGGGGAGAUCAAUCCAUGAUAAACUACUUGAUGGUGCAUCAUACGAUCAAACAUCUUCACAAGAAAAGGUUGCUAGUCUGUUUCUCAAGCUGGAUGUUACGAAGGCCUUUGAUUCGGUCUCUUGGGCCUUUCUGUUAGAUGUCUUAGUUCAUCUGGGUUUUGGUCCGAGGUGGUGUAACUUGAUUUCAAAUAUGCUUUCCACCUCUUCCACUCGGGUUUUGCUGAAUGGUACUCUGGGAGAUCAUAUUAGGCACAUAUGCGGGGCCUGAGACAAGGUGACCCCCUUGUCUCCUAUGCUGUUUAUCAUAAUUAUGGAUGUGCUUAGCAGUAUUUUUAAAGAAGUUGAGCGGUGAGGGCUGCUGCAGAGUCUUGACAAUGAUAGAAUCAAGUCAAGGAUUUCACUAUACGCUGAUGAUGUGGUUUUAUUUAUUAAGCCACAUGAUCUUGAAUUGAGGUGUACUAAGGUUAUUCUUGACUGUUUUGGGGAGGCCUCGGGGUUGGUUGCCAACAUGCAAAAGAUUGUUUUAUCCCUAUUGCUUGUAAUGAUCAGGUGGUUCAGGAAAGUGGUUCCUUACAGCAGUGCCCUUCAGCAACCUUUCCAUGCACCUACUUAGGGCUGCCCAUAUCCAACAAGAAUCUAUCGAAGGGUACUCUAAUGGUUUAUGGUUUGGGUUGAGAAGAUAGCUGAUCGUUUACCUUCCUGGAAGGCCUCCCUUCUUAACUUGGCGGGCAGAACUGCUUUGGUUCGUUUCGUGCUCUCCACCAUUCCUUUUUACCUCCUUAUCACCAUGAUUGUCCCGAAAUGGGUGAUCAAGGAGAUUGGCAGGGUUAGAAGGAGCUUCCUUUGGAAGGGGAGAAAGGAAGUAAAUGGUGGCAGCUGUCUAGUGUCUUGGGACAUUGUUACUAGACCCCUUUUCCUAGGAGGGCUGGGUAUACCAAAUCUGCAUUUUCAGGGAUUAGCGAUGCAGGCAAGGUGCCUUUGGCUGUAGAAGACUGAUGCCAGCAGGCCUUGGAGGGACCUGGACCUUCCCAUUCACCCGCAGGUGCGGAAUCAAGAUUCAUUUUACAUCCUUGGUGGCAUUAGCUUAGAAGGACGAGAAAUUGCAUGGACCUGGUUGAAGGAAAACUGGGAUCACGUGUUGAAGACAUGGAAAUCGAGUUCACUCAUAUCAGACUUCAUUGAGUCCAUUGUCCCACGGUUUACCUCCGAGGAGAAAGCUGUCGAGGUUACCGAGUUCUUUGCUGGCCAAGUUAAGCCAUCAUUCGAGAGAGCACUGAAGCAGAGCCUGGAGAGGGUGCGGAUCAGCGCGAGAUGGAUCGAGAGCAUUAGGAGUGAGCCCAAGCUUGGUCAGACAGUGCAGGAGCUGCUGCAGGCCGAUGCGUAAACAUGUGGCCUGGAAGGUAGCGGUUCCUCAGUGUGAUCAUCUCAUACGGGCUGUUCGGGUCAGAUUAAAGUCGGUUGUUUAGAUUGCUGCAGUUAUAAUCUAUAGAGAUAAACAUUGUAGAAACAGUAGAAGUCGGUAUAAAUUAAACCUAAACGACCAGGCCUAUAAAUUCUUGAAAAGGUUCAGGUGGGCUUAUUCUACAUUGUAUUGGCAGUUGCUUGCGUAUGAUUUGUUGAGGGAAAAAACUGAUGCAAUGACGUUUGUUUCAAAGAGUGGUGUACUGAGUCCAUGAUUAUUAUUA